CGUAGGGGGCAAGCGUUGUCCGGAUUUAUUGGGCGUAAAGAGCGUGUAGGCGGCUUUGCAAGUCCGUUGUGAAAACUCGAGGCUCAGCCUCGAGACGCCGGUGGAAACUGCAAAGCUAGAGUCCGGAAGAGGAGAGUGGAAUUCCUGGUGUAGCGGUGAAAUGCGCAGAUAUCAGGAAGAACACCCGUGGCGAAGGCGGCUCUCUGGGACGGUACUGACGCUGAGACGCGAAAGCGUGGGGAGCGAACAGGAUUAGAUACCCUGGUAGUCCACGCCGUAAACGAUGGGUGCUAGGUGUGGGCGGUGUCGACUCCGUCCGUGCCGAAGCUAACGCAUUAAGCACCCCGCCUGGGGAGUACGGCCGCAAGGCUA
rnacentral:rRNA from 1 species